rnacentral:rRNA from 1 species
UACGUAGGCAGCAAGCGUUGUUCGGAAUUACUGGGCGUAAAGAGUGUGUAGGCGGUGCUCUAAGUCUGUUGUGAAAUCUCCCGGCUUAACUGGGAGGGUGCGCCGGAAACUGGGGUGCUCGAGCGUGGGAGAGGAAAGCGGGAAUUCCUGGUGUAGCGGUGGAAAUGCGUAGAUAUCAGGAGGAACACCUGUGGUGUAGACAGCUUUCUGGACCAUUGCUGACGCUGAGACACGAAAGCGUGGGUAGCAAACAGG